rnacentral:lncRNA from 1 species
UCAUGUGAAUGCCUGACUAUGAAGAAAAUACAUUUUGCAACACAGGGAUGGAUCCAGCAUGAUCUGGUAGGGGGGGGGGGGGGGGGGGGGUGCUCUGUCAGCUCUGGUGCCGAGUUGUGUCGGUCAUGUGUGCCGCCUGCCCAUCAACUUGCUUCACUACUGCAAAGUCUUGCUUUACUACUGUAUUUGAAUUGUCAGUAAUUGUUGUUCACAGCUUGCUUAUCAUGUUAUUACUCAAAUUACUGUAUCUCAUUUUGCCUGUAAUAAUUUUUUGCUUUAUCAUGAAAAAUAGCACCCCCCUGCACCCCAUCUGGCCAGGGC